rnacentral:rRNA from 1 species
UGGGGAAUUUUGGACAAUGGGGGCAACCCUGAUCCAGCCAUGCCGCGUGAGUGAAGAAGGCCUUCGGGUUGUAAAGCUCUUUCGGCGGGGACGAAACGGUCCGUGACAACACCACGGACUAAUGACAGUACUCGCAGAAGAAGCACCGGCUAACUACGUGCCAGCAGCCGCGGUAAUACGUAGGGUGCGAGCGUUAAUCGGAAUUACUGGGCGUAAAGCGUGCGCAGGCGGCGACAUAAGACAGAUGUGAAAUCCCCGGGCUCAACCUGGGAACUGCGUUUGUGACUGUGUUGCUAGAGUGUAGCAGAGGGGGGUGAAUUCCACGUGUAGCAGUGAAAUGCGUAGAGAUGUGGAGGAACACCGAUGGCGAAGGCAGCCCCCUGGGUUAACACUGACGCUCAUGCACGAAAGCGUGGGGAGCAAACAGGAUUAGAUACCCGAGUAGUCCCUGAGCGGGCUGGCAAGGCGCAU